rnacentral:tRNA from 1 species
CAGAGUAUAGCUAAAACAGAUAAAGCAUCUCCCUUACACCGAGAAAUUACCCGUGCAAAUCGGGUUACCCUGA